AUGUACGCGGCCCUCAGUGCGGCGCAAUGGGUGGUGGGCAAGGCGCUAGCCCCUGUUGCGGAUGGGGUGCUGGAGGCAUGGGCGGCCACCAGGAACUUCGGUUUCAACAUCGAGGCCCUCAGCAUGGAACUAAUGCUGGUGAAGGCCACGCUCGAACAAGCUGGCCGUAAGGAGCUCGGCGGGCCGGCCAUGGAGAUGUUGUUGCAGAAGCUGCGUGACUCGGCGCAAAAUGCUGAAGACUUGCUAGAUGAGCUCGACUACUUCCGCAUCCACGAUGAGCUCCACGGCACCCACGAUGCUGCAGGCGAGCACGACAAGGGUUGCUUCCACAACCUUGCCUUCAAUGCUCGCCACACCGCCAAAGCUUUUGGCAAACUGGUCAACUGUGCUAAGCAUCGGCAGAGGUCACACAGCGACUCCUCGGCCCCAGACACCAAUCAGGAGCUUAGCGGAUGCAUGCCCAAGAUCGGUAAACUCCUCACUUGCUCAUCUUCCCCGCAUCCACAUGUUCGUGAUGAUGACUAUGAUAGUGAUGAUGACUGUGGCAAUGUGCAAGAAACACCAAAGCUUGAGUUUAAUAGGGUUUAUUUCUCUCAAAGGAUGAAGGACAUUGUAGAGAAAUUGCAACUUAUGCGCAAUGAGGUUAGCAAGAUUCUGAUACAUUGUGGCCCUAGAACUGUCCCAGACAUUGCCCUGAGUCGUCCUAUCACCAAAAGUAGAAUUGAUGAGCCAAAACUGUAUGGAAGGGACCAUGUCAUGAAUAGCAUCAUACAUGAUAUCACCAAGGGUCAAUACUAUGACAAGGGUCUAACUGUGCUGCCGGUAGUGGGUCCAGGGGGAAUGGGGAAGACAACUCUUAUACAACACAUAUAUCGCAACCAGCAAGUGCAGAAUCAUUUUCCAGCGAGCCCCGAUGGCGGUGGUUGGAGCAGUGUGGUGGGGACUGCUCGUGAGGAACGCGGGUGGUGCCCGCUGGUGCUUGCGGUAGCCUCGUCAACAUGCUUAUUGGCAGCCUCGCCAGUGUGCUUGCAGGCGGUGGCGGCCGUGCUUGUCGGCGGCCUCGUUGGCGUGUUUGCUAGAGGCGGCGGUCAGAGCAGUGCGCAGAGGUUGUAG
rnacentral:rRNA from 1 species